rnacentral:lncRNA from 1 species
GAGAGGCUGAGGAGUACGUACCAAGGGACAGUUUGUGAGACUCUGGUAGGUCCGUGACUGAGGGCACCCUUGUGGGAUGCUGAGUGUAGCCAUCAGGAAGCUGGGUCCCAGCCAACUCAGCCUGGGCUCUGCCGUUCUCCAGUGGUCAGAUAAGAAAGAGCGGUGUGGUCCUCUAAGGGAGUGAGCGAGGACUGCAGCUGCUUUGAGCCCUGGCCAGAGCCUCCAAUCAACCUUUGGUUCUGAUAAAGACAAGAAACCCAAGCCCCUCCCUCCCCACUGCUGAUAUAACAGCAUGAAAUUAAACCUAUUCCAGUCUGUGACAUCUGAUCCCUUUGACAUGACAUAGUACAACCUGUAGAGCCAGAGGUGGGGGCCAGGAAGCCCUGUUCUAGUCUCUCUGCACAACCUUGAGCCAUCUCAUCAUCUGCACAUCUGCCUGAACCUCAGUCUCCCACUCUGGACGUUGUCGGGGUGAUGGAGCAAGCAUUCAGUUAUUCUCUGCUGGAUUCUGAUGUGGUCUAAAGUCCACACUUUGUUGUGAAACACCGCAAUCUGUGAUGUACAGAACCUAUUACUGCGGCCACCCAGGAAUGCUGGGGGCAGGCCUUUUGAGAAGGUGAAUCAGCGUGUGUUAGCUCAGGGCAGAGGGCCUGGCGGUGAGACGUGAGAACAGCCAAUGUCAUGGCGGUGGGGGAGUGGACGUGAGCCAUCUGGGGCCCAGCAAACAGCAUGUUGAAAAAAACGAGGAACUCAAAGGCAGAUGAGCCUACCACGCUGGGAACAGUUGGGAGUACAUUGCUCAAGCCCCGGCCAGUUUUAUGUCACUGCUGGUGUGAAGCAGUGAACAGUGACCCAGCAUGCAUCCAGGUGGCGGGACAGAGUCAGACUCUCCAGGGCAGAGAGACUCUAAAACUGACGGCCAGGUCUUGCUCAGACUACGGGCCUGAGGGAAGAUCCAAGACUGAAACAGGUGCCGGAGAUUACAUCCAGGUUGCUGGUCUUGGUGGUGAACAAUACCCUUGCUUACCCCCAAGCCUUCUCACUAACCCUGACGCUCUUUAUACAGGGCUUGGAAUGGAGGGGGUGGAGUUGAGGAGAUCACAGAGGACCUAGGAGUGUGUGUAUCGGAGAGAGAUAGGAAACCACUGACCGUUCAGCACACAUUCAGAAUUACUGCCUGUCCCAGGGAGGGACCCACAGCUCCGGCGCUCCGUUCAGCAUCUGGAAGAGCAUAGCUCGCUGUGAGCGGCCGCCCCAGAAGACUGUAUCCCACCCAGCCAGCUCUCCUGCCUGCUUGCCUCUGCCCCACACCAGGACACUUCAUACUGUCAGAACCACUGGGUGUGUGAGCUUGUGAGAGGGUGUGUGGGCACACAUGUCCCUGUGUGGGGUGUGGAGGUCAGAGGGCAACUUGGAGGAAUUGGUUCUCUCCUUCCACCACUGGGGCCCAGGAAUCAAGCCGAGGUUCCCAGACGUGGUAGCAGCCUCCCUUACCUGUUAAACCAGUGCUUCCCAGACUUCCUAAUGCUGUGACCUCAUGCUGUGCUGACCCCCGCCCAUGACAUUAUCUCUGUUGGUAUUUUAUAACUGUAAUUUUGCUACUAUUAUGAAUCACAAUGUAAAUGUCUGUUUUCUGAUGGU